UGGUUGAUCCUGCCAGUAGUGUAUGCUUCUCCUAAAGACUAAGCCAUGCAUGUCUUCGAAUAAGAGGAAGCAAUUCUCUCUGAAUCUGCGAACGGCUCCGCAUACCAGUUGUAAACUAUAGCAAGCAAGCCUGGGCUGCCUUCACGGGUGGCUCGGGUAAUAUGGAUAACCCUGGUAAUUCUGAGGCUAAUACAAGAACGUAACCCCUCGCUGACUGGGUAACUGGGAGGCUGGGAGACGUGCGCGUUGUGUCGUGGGAUUGCCAGGAAGGGACGCACGUCUGGACCGCGCUACAAAGGUUCCCUCCCUCAAAAGGGGGUUCCCAGCGGCUCUUGCUGUGUGCUUCUGACCUAUCAACUAGAUGGCAGCGUAAGGGACAUGCUAUGGUAACAACGGGUACAGAGGAUUAGGGUUCGAUCCUGGAGAGUGGGCCUGAGAGAUUGCUCAUACUUCUAAGGAAGGCAGCAGGCGCGCAACGUUCCCCUUGGGCAAAGCUUGAGGGCGUUAGGGGACAUAUGAAUGCUUGCCCUAUGGGUGAGCAAUUCAAAUGGGUCUGUUGUAAACAGGCUCUCGAGUAACAAUUAGAGGACAAGUC
rnacentral:rRNA from 1 species